CCUACGGGUGGCAGCAGUGGGGAAUAGUGCACAAUGGGGGAAACCCUGAUGCAGCGACGCCGCGUGAGUGAAGAAGUAUUUCGGGAUGGAAAGCUCUAUCAGCAGGGAAGAGAAUGACGGUACCUGACGAAGAAGCCCCGGCUAACUACGUGCCAGCAGCCGCGGUAAGACGUAGGGGGCAAGCGUUAUCCGGAUUUACUGGGUGGAAAGGGGGCGUAGGUGGCAGGGCAAGUCAGAUGGGAAAGCCCGGGGCUCACCCCCGGUACUGCAUUUGAAACUGUCCAGCUGGAGUGCAGGAGAGGUAAGCGCCAUUCCUAGUGUCGCGGUGAACUGCGUAGAUAUUAGGAGGAACCCCAGUGGCGCAGGCGGCUUACUGGACUGUACCUGACACUGAGGCAC
rnacentral:rRNA from 1 species